UAGAGUUUGAUCAUGGCUCAGAACGAACGCUGGCGGCAGGCCUAACACAUGCAAGUCGAACGAAGGCCCGGAGCUUGCUCCGGUCACCUUAGUGGCGGACGGGUGAGUAACACGUGGGAACCUACCUAGCAGUACGGAAUAACUGUGGGAAACUGCAGCUAAUACCGUAUACGCCCUACGGGGGAAAGAUUUAUCGCUGUUAGAUGGGCCCGCGCCUGAUUAGCUUGUUGGUGAGGUAAUGGCUCACCAAGGCUACGAUCAGUAGCUGGUCUGAGAGGAUGAUCAGCCACACUGGGACUGAGACACGGCCCAGACUCCUACGGGAGGCAGCAGUGGGGAAUAUUGGACAAUGGGGGCAACCCUGAUCCAGCCAUGCCGCGUGAGUGAAGAAGGCCCUAGGGUUGUAAAACUCUUUCACCGGGGACGAUGAUGACGGUACCCGGAGAAGAAGCCCCGGCUAACUCCGUGCCAGCAGCCGCGGUAAUACGGAGGGGGCUAGCGUUGUUCGGAAUUACUGGGCGUAAAGCGCGCGUAGGCGGUUUAUCAAGUCAGGCGUGAAAGCCCCGGGCUCAACCCGGGAACUGCGCUUGAUACUGGUUGACUGGAGGCCGGGA
rnacentral:rRNA from 1 species